rnacentral:rRNA from 1 species
UACGGGAGGCAGCAGUGGGGAAUAUUGCACAAUGGGCGCAAGCCUGAUGCAGCCAUGCCGCGUGUAUGAAGAAGGCCUUCGGGUUGUAAAGUACUUUCAGUCGUGAGGAAGGUGUUAAGGUUAAUAACCUUAGCAAUUGACGUUAGCGACAGAAGAAGCACCGGCUAACUCCGUGCCAGCAGCCGCGGUAAUACGGAGGGUGCGAGCGUUAAUCGGAAUUACUGGGCGUAAAGGGCACGCAGGCGGUUAAUUAAGUUGGAUGUGAAAUCCCCGGGCUUAACCUGGGAAUGGCAUUCAAGACUGGUUAGCUAGAGUCUUGUAGAGGGGGUAGAAUUCCGAUGUGUAGCGGUGAAAUGCGUAGAGAUGUGGAGGAAUACCGGGUGGCGAAGGCGGCCCCUGGGACAAAGACUGACGCUCAUGUGCGAAAGCGUGGGGAGCAAACAGGAUUAGAUACC